rnacentral:rRNA from 1 species
GUACCGCAAACCGACACAGGUGGGUGAGGAGAGUAUCCUAAGGCCAGCGAGAGAACUGUUGUUAAGGAACUCGGCAAAAUGACCCCGUAACUUAGGGAGAAGGGGUGCCACGUUAGGGUUAACGCCCGAGGUGGCCGCAGAGAAUAGGCCCAAGCGACUGUUUACCAAAAACACAGGUUUCUGCUAAGUCGCAAGACGAUGUAUAGGAGCUGACGCCUGCCCGGUGCUGGAAGGUUAAGGGGAUCUGUUAGGAUUUAUCCGAAGCAGUGAACUUAAGCCCCAGUAAACGGCGGCCGUAACUAUAACGGUCCUAAGGUAGCGAAAUUCCUUGUCGGGUAAGUUCCGACCCGCACGAAAGGCGUAACGAUUUGGGCACUGUCUCAACAACAGACUCGGUGAAAUUGUAAUCCCGGUGAAGAUGCCGGGUACCUGCGACAGGACGGAAAGACCCCAUGGAGCUUUACUGUAGCUUGACAUUGAAUUUUGGUGCUACAUGUACAGGAUAGGUGGGAGGCUAUGAAAUCAGGACGCCAGUCUUGGUGGAGCCAUCCUUGGGAUACCACCCUUGUAGUACUGAGAUUCUAACCAGAUACCUUGAAUCAGGUAUUGGGACACUGUCAGGUGGGCAGUUUGACUGGGGCGGUCGCCUCCCAAAGAGUAACGGAGGCGCUCAAAGGUUCUCUCAGCACGGUCGGAAAUCGUGCGUAGAGUGUAAAGGCAGAAGAGAGCUUGAUUGCAAGACAUACAGGUCGAGCAAGGACGAAAGUCGGACUUAGUGAUCCGGUGGUUCCGCAUGGAAGGGCCAUCGCUCAACGGAUAAAAGCUACCCUGGGGAUAACAGGCUUAUCUCCCCCAAGAGUCCACAUCGACGGGGAGGUUUGGCACCUCGAUGUCGGCUCAUCACAUCCUGGGGCUGUAGUAGGUCCCAAGGGUUGGGCUGUUCGCCCAUUAAAGUGGUACGCGAGCUGGGUUCAGAACGUCGUGAGACAGUUCGGUCCCUAUCCGUCGCAGGCGUAGGAAAUUUGAGGAGACCUGUCCUUAGUACGAGAGGACCGGGAUGGACGUACCUCUGGUGUACCAGUUGUUCUGCCAAGGGCAUGGCUGGGUAGCUAUGUACGGAAUGGAUAAGCGCUGAAAGCAUCUAAGCGCGAAGCCAACUUCAAGAUAAGAUUUCCCACCGUAAGGGUAAGAUCCCAGGAAGACUACCUGGUUGAUAGGUCGGAGGUGUAAGUGCAGCAAUGUAUGUAGCUUACCGAUACUAAUAGAUCGAGGACUUGACCAA